rnacentral:lncRNA from 1 species
CCCUUUGCCAUACUAAGUUCUCCAGUGCCUCCAACAAUGCUCCAUUCACCAUUUAUUUGGGAAGUCCCAGAUAUUUGUAGUGUGGACCCAUUGAACCUGUUUUGUGCACAGAAGCAUAAAUGAAUAUAAGAAAAUGUUAUCAUAUACUGCUCCAACAGCAAGAAAAGGUAAUUCUGUGGGGUUACUUGCAGUCAAUCAAUAUAAUUUUUCUCAACAUAUAUAUCAUGUGGUAUGUUGACAAAGGGAAAAUCCGAUGAGUCGUCGGACCUUUUUCUUGAAAAACAGAAGUAAAACUUGUGUCUAAGAGACCAUAACGUUAUAAUUGAAUCAAUGAGUAUUAGCAAACAUAAGUAUUACCUCUAAAAGUAAGUACCUAGAUAUACUCUUUUUGGGAGAGAUUGUGAAAGCAGAUUGUUGUCUUGUGCUAAAGAAUAAAUUCUCACCUUUUAUCCCCGAACACUAAUCCAAGGGAGUAGUGCCACACAUAAUUGGGAGUAUUGGCUACUUGAACACCUGUGCCCUGCAGAUGGCCGACGAUAUUUGCAUUGGUUCCUGGCCCAUCGGUUACAGGCCACGAAAAGACCCAGGUUGUACCCAUUGGCUCUUUGUUUAUAACCGUUACUCCGUUUAUGCCCGCUCCAGCAUACACCUCCUUGUUGUACAGGGUCAUCUUAAGCUCACUUUGAACGGGAGAUAUUGUGUAAGAGGCCAUGGCUAGGGGGAGUGUUAAUUCCCAGAAGGAGGGGAGAGGGUGUAUGUUAUCCUGGAUAGCUCAGCUAUUCUCCUCUUUCAUUAU